rnacentral:rRNA from 1 species
GUGUCAGCAGCCGCGGUAAUACGGAGGGGGUUAGCGUUGUUCGGAAUUACUGGGCGUAAAGCGCACGUAGGCGGACUGGAAAGUUGGGGGUGAAAUCCCGGGGCUCAACCUCGGAACUGCCUCCAAAACUACUAGUCUAGAGUUCGAGAGAGGUGAGUGGAAUUCCGAGUGUAGAGGUGAAAUUCGUAGAUAUUCGGAGGAACACCAGUGGCGAAGGCGGCUCACUGGCUCGAUACUGACGCUGAGGUGCGAAAGUGUGGGGAGCAAACAGGAUUAGAUACCCUGGUAGUCCACACCGUAAACGAUGAAUGCCAGUCGUCGGCAAGCAUGCUUGUCGGUGACACACCUAACGGAUUAAGCAUUCCGCCUGGGGAGUACGGUCGCAAGAUUAAAACUUAAAUGAAUUGACGGGG